AAAAAGUCGUGUUUUUUUUUUUUUAAAUAAUUUGGAGUUUUUCAAAAAAAUAAAUUUAUUUAAUAGCAAUAAAUUAAUAUUGAGAGAUUGAGAUGAGACUGUCUAAAAUUGAGGUAUGACAAAUAUAAUUAACCCGCAUCUAGGCCUGUUAAGAAUUAGGUUUAAACCAACCAAGCCGAUCAAAUCGAACCAACCCGAUUUGAUUUUUGGGUUGAUUUACUGAUUUGGUCAGGUUGGCAUAUUUUACUUAAAGAUGUUUAUUUUGUGUCGGUUUGUUGAUGAAAUUAUCCAUCUUUACUUGGAAAACGUCUUCUUAUGCCCUAGUCUUCAUCUUCUCAAAAUCGCCUGUAAUCUGUCCCACUCCCACACCACGCUGCUGCUGCUCUAGUGCCGAGGAAUAUUUUGGCAUGGGAUGGAUCUUCUAGGUUGUAUUAUUGGGGAUUCUAGCUGUCUGCAUUGCAUUUCUAUUUGGCUUGAAAGAACUGGAUGCUAGGUUCGAAAGGAGCAGAGGAUUUCUCAUUCUGUGCUCAAAUCUCCGGUACUCAUUCUGUGCACAAAUCUCUGGAAUACUGGAUCCAUUUUACCUGUUAUUCUUUUGUCAAAUUUGAAGCAGUUUCUGGGUGUUCUGUACUAAUUUUAUUUCUCUCGUAACUUUUGAGCAAUUUGAGUGAUUAAACAUCUUUUCCUUUUUCUGCAAUUUCUAUUUUUCUCAUACUUCCCUAAAUUUCUGUAUACCUAAUUGAGCUGUUACACCUGACAGUUCAAGAAUGUCUCUCUUCAAAAUCUGGCUAUCUGUAGUUGUCAGUCUCUGUAUUUGUAUGAAGCCCACAAGCUGUUCGAUGAAAUUCUUGCUGGAGACAUUCACGCCUGGCCUAUUUUGAUAUUGGGUUUUGGAUGGCAUGAAUAUGGGCCUUAUUUGGACUGUUUACUCCGUUUAUUGAGUUUUUCAGUUUGCAUGGUAUCAAUAUUGAGUUUUUGAUAACUUCUUGUUUCUUCAAUUGGUUUUUGCGAGAAACCAUGGGUUGUGGGUGGAAACAAAAGCCUGUUAAUUGAAGUUAUUGAUGAGGACGGACUCCUUCCAUUUGGACCCAGUAGAAUUCAAUCUCUCUGAAGGCAGCAUAAUGGCUAUAAAUUUAGGUAACAAUAGUGAGUUGUUAUUCUGAUUAAUUUUUUUUUUUAUUGUUAUAAUAACAUUUGUCAAUAUAUAUUGUGCUUUUUUUUUCCCCAAGGUAUGGAGAGUAGCAAGUCUGCAUAUAAUGGUGCUUCUCCAUUUUGAGCAAGGGAAGGCUCAUUUUAGGCAAUGUUAUAUUUAAAAUUUACUAUUAUUUU
rnacentral:misc_RNA from 1 species